rnacentral:hammerhead_ribozyme from 1 species
GUACUGCUGAAGAAUCCCAAACUAGGACAAAACGGAUGUCCAGUAC